AUCCAGUUGAUGAGUCAAAGAUAGGAUGGAACGCGCGUCCUGGAU
rfam:Schistosoma margrebowiei strain Zambia genome assembly, scaffold: SMRZ_contig0002626